rnacentral:misc_RNA from 1 species
CAGGUACUAGGUCAGAAAGCGUAACGGCCGUACAUACAAACAAGCAGAAUAAAAGUAUAGAUGUGUAUAUAUACAUAGUAUUACUUUGUAGUGUUCAAAACAGUCAAUUAACUUUGUGAACUGCACAAACAAACUACACCCUUACCUAAGUCAGUAAGUGUCAAGAUGCCCAAACGAGUUUUGAAAUCAUUGUAUUCACGGAAAUCAAAAAUAGCCAAGAGGAUGGCAGAAAGAAGAUCGCAAGAAACGGCAAAAGAAACUGCUGCAAGACAAGCUCAAGAUAGGGAAAGGAUAGCUAGAAGAAGAGCACAAGAAACAGCUGAUGAAACUGCUGCUAGACAGAGUCAAGAUAGGGAAAGGAUAGCUAGAAGAAGAGCACAAGAGACAGCUGGUGAAACUGCUGCCACACAAAAAGGAAAUCUUGGCAGAAUGACAAAAAGAAGAGUGAAAGAAUUGGUUGCAGAAAUUGCUGCUAGAAGAGAACAAAGUAGAGAAUAUCAAGCUCAAAGAAGGGUUGCUGCUGCUGAAUGGAGACCAAGAAUGUAUUUCAAAACAGCUAAUGAUUAUGAUCCAAAUCAUGAUUAUGAAUCAGAGUCUGCAUAUGAUGUUGGAAAAAGAUCUAUAGAAUGUGAUUUUUGCAGGACAAAAAGGUAUCCCAAUGAAAAGGCAGGACUGUGUUGUGACAACGGCAAAGUUGAAUUGCAACCUUUGAGAGAAUCACCACCACCUCUUAAUGUACUCCUUCAGGGAAAUAUUGAAGAGUCUAAAAACUUCCUAACCAAUAUUAGAAAAUAUAACAAUGUUUUCCAAAUGACCUCUUUUGGAGCUGGAACUAUCAUCACAGAACCAGGAUACCAAACUCUUGGUGAGACUUCAGUUGAAUAUGAAAUGAGUGUCACUGAUGCAGUAAUGGAGGUUUUAGAAAUAAAAGUUGAACCCUUUUAUGAUGAUGAACAAAAUGCUCUAUUGAAUAUGGAACUAAUGGAAAAUGAAGAAAAAAACAUAACAUCAUCUAGUGCAACUGUGGAAGCUUUGUCCUUAUGUAAAGGGGCUUCACAUGCUGUCCAUAGGUCUGUUGUACCAGAAGAGGGACAAGAAAAUAACUGUGUUGAAGUAACACGAAAAACUGAGAACACUUUGGUCAAAGUGAAAACUGAGCCACCUGGUGAGUUAUGAGAAGAUGAGUCUGUUUUAGAGUUCAGUGAGAGUGAUGAUGAUCUAGAUAGUUCUAAAGAUGAAAUUUUGAGAAUGGAAAAAGAAAAUGAAUUUCAAGAGAGUUGCAUCAACUGGACUUUUAUGUUAGAAUAUACAUUUGGUGUCCAUUUGGUGCUGUUUUUGUGUUGAUAGAAUGACUUCCUUUGUAAUGACAAGAAAGUUUUGUAGUGUGAUCUGAAUUUUGCAGUAAAAGCAUGUUUUGAAGCUAUGUAGCAUAUAAACAAGCUGCUCCCCUCAAAAACAACAACAAAAAACAGUAUGUUCUUACUGCAAUGAUUACAAAUUAUACAUGUGAACUUGUAUAAAGUUUUAAAAAGCAUCGUCGUAUGUAGAAAAAACAUCAUUUACUUACACUGCUAUGAUUUCCAUAACUUAUACUGUGGUGUCACAUCUUUCUAUAGACUUAGUAAGGUAUUAGUGUAACUGUUGUAUAAAAACUGUAGAAAUGAUACAUGGAAUUCAAAAGAUAAUUAUGUACAGAAUAUCAACAAACCAGAGUUUAGUGUAAAGUGGCUAUAACAAAUGAAAUGUGUUAUUAAAUUUGCGUUUGUAUUUAUUUAAGUAUGUAAUAAAGAUUUAUCUCAAAUUUAAUGAUUUUUAUGUAUAUACAUAUAACUUGUUAAGCCAGUCUUCCAAAACAGGGAGAAGUGGCAUCUUUUUCUAUGUGCCAACAUUUUAUGUUAUUAUGGGUACAAAUAUAACAACAUCAUGACGUUUUUUAUAUGUUUUACCCUGAUUAUUUGCUAUCUUUCUUUAUUGAGUUAUAUAUUGGAAAACUCUUUAUGUAGAUUAUCAAUGUUUAAUGAUGUCCUGGAGUUGUUUAACUGUUACAGUUACCUCUACAUCUAUAGAAAGAAUGCAUUCAGGAAAAUUCAACUCAAAGUUCUUAUGUUGCAUGUCUUUGGAAGUGUUCCAGCAACCUUAUGAAUGUGAGAAAAAAAUGUUUUCCCAAACCACGGACACUACAGUUUCUGUUAUGUACCUUUGCCACAAUUCUAACAUCCUCAGAAAUGUGAGAUAGGAAAAGCCUUCACAGCCAACCAAUCAAUACCACAAUUCUGACAAUAUUCUGUUUUUAAAAAAUAGAUACUUCACAAAUUAAUAAAGGAAAUAUUGUUUAUUUAGGAUUAUUUCCGUUACAUGUAUAUGUUUUUGUGUGUGUUUAUA